rnacentral:rRNA from 1 species
GACGAACGCUGGCGGCGUGCUUAACACAUGCAAGUCGAACGGAAAGGCCCUGCUUUUGUGGGGUGCUCGAGUGGCGAACGGGUGAGUAACACGUGAGUAACCUGCCCUUGACUUUGGGAUAACUUCAGGAAACUGGGGCUAAUACCGGAUAGGAGCUCCUGCUGCCUGGUGGGGGUUGGAAAGUUUCGGCGGUUGGGGAUGGACUCGCGGCUUAUCAGCUUGUUGGUGGGGUAGUGGCUUACCAAGGCUUUGACGGGUAGCCGGCCUGAGAGGGUGACCGGCCACAUUGGGACUGAGAUACGGCCCAGACUCCUACGGGAGGCAGCAGUGGGGGAUAUUGCACAACGGGCGGAAGCCUGAUGCAGCAACGCCGCGGGCGGGAUGACGGCCUUCGGGUUGUAAACCGCUUUCGCCUGUGACGAAGCGUGAGUGACGGUAAUGGGUAAAGAAGCACCGGCUAACUACGUG